rnacentral:rRNA from 1 species
GGUUUGGGUCGACUCCUAAUGAGACUGCCGGUGACAAACCGGAGGAAGGUGGGGAUGACGUCAAGUCCUCAUGGCCCUUAUGGGUAGGGCUUCACACGUCAUACAAUGGUCGGUACAGAGGGUUGCCAACCCGCGAGGGGGAGCUAAUCCCACAAAGCCGAUCGUAGUCCGGAUCGCAGUCUGCAACUCGACUGCGUGAAGUCGGAAUCGCUAGUAAUCGUGGAUCAGCAUGUCACGGUGAAUACGUUCCCGGGUCUU